GCAAGUUGGGGGUCUGAGAGGCAAAACCCUCUCCUAGCACCCCGCCCGGGCCUCGGGCAGGGUGAACGCUGCCCACGUCCCCUGAGACGCGGGAACCUCGCCCCAAGCGCCGCUGCGGGCUCCCGCGGAGGGUCGCGAUAGGGCGAAGCGGGGGAAGGGCGCCGAGCCACGAGGCUGAGGGCCAGGGCUGGUGAGAAGCUCGAAGAUGCGCCGAAGCGGGCUGACGCAGGCGGAGCACCGGCCGGGAGAGGUGCGGGGAGAGGCCGCGUGGGACUGGGUACGAAGGGCAGAAGUGAGCGGUGUGUGGGGCCGGAGAAGAAGCCUUCCUGUCAGGGCAGGGGCUGAUGCUCCCUGGAACAGGCUGGCGGGACCCCAGCCAACUUCCGUGACAACAGGGCCUGAGGGAGAGGCACAGACCGGCCCGGCACGCCCGGGCCCCGGCUCUGCCACGCCAAGUGCAUUCUGGUCGACGCUUGGAACUUCUUAAAAAUGUAAAUUGUGGAGAUUUGGGAGAAGUUGAAGAAAGCUUUGUGUGUAAAAAAAAAAAAAAAAAAAAAAGCACAAUUUGCCUGUAAUCCCAGCAUUCGGGAGGCUGAGGCAAAAGGAUGGCCGCGAGUUCGAGGUCAGCCUGUGCUACAUAGCAAGACAGUCUCCAAAAACAAACCAAUUUAUCAUCUUAACCUUUGAAGUGUACAUAUAGCAGUGUUCGCUGUGUGCACAUGGUUGUGCAACAGUUUCUCAUUUUGCAGAACUGAAACCCUACCCGUCCAACGACCUUUCCCUUUUUCUUCCUCUGGAACCUGAAACAAUCAUUCUACUUUUGGAGGCGUGCCUUAGAUGUGGCACCUAAGGCAGGCACCGGCACCACCGAGCUAAAUCCCUGGCAGUUCAGACUGAUUUUGAGCUCAUCGUGUAGCCCACCCCAGGCUGGCCUCAAACUCGAAGCAGUCCUCCUGCCUCUGCCUCCUACGUGCUGGGAUUACAGGUGUGUGUGCCAUCCUGCCCAACCCCAUUUUAAAAUUGAGCUAUAGUUUUAAGAAUCUAUUUUAAGUGUUAGUUUCUUACUAGAUACAUAGUUUGCAAGUAUUUUCUCCCAUUUGGUAGGUUGCUUUUGUCCUUUGCUGUGCAGUUCUGAAGUUCAGUGUGGUCCUGUUUGUUCUUUUUGGUGUCAUCCAUCACCACAUCCAACAUCAUGAAGCUUCCCCUACAAGUUUUCUUUUAGGGUUUUUACAGUUACAGGUCUAUUUCUGCAUCUUUAAUCUGUUUGAGUUAAUUUUUGUAGGUGAUGUAAGAUAAGGAUCUAACUUCAUUCUUUUUCCUGCCCAUGGCCUAUUUUCCCAGCACCAUUUACUGAAGAGAUAGGAAGUUUUUAAAGCAUAGCAAGGAGCUCAGUGGUGCCACCACCUGCCCUGAAAGCGCAAGGACCUGAGUUCGAUCCUUGGUACCAAAAAAAAAAAAAAAAGCAUAGCAAGAAUUCAAAGGCCCUCAAGUUCCACACUAGAGAGAAGCACAGCAUAUGUGUUCAUAUGAGUAUAAAACAGUGCCAUAUAUUUAUUCUGAGGUAUGGUGACUUUCACAUAUUUUAAUAAACUAGAAAUUGGGGUGGUGACUUAUUCCAAUUGAUGGCGUCUCACAACUAAUUGGCAAUUUUUUUUUAGUGGAACAUAAAAUAGUUUUAAAAAUCAGUUUGAUUAAAUAGAGGAUAGCCGUAGUAGGAUAGCCAGGCAUGGUGGCACACACCUAUAAUUGCAGCACUCUGGGAGGCUGAGGCAGGGGGAGCACAAAUUCAAGCCCAGCCUGGGCAACUCACUGAUUUAGCAAGAUCGUAUCUUAAAAAUAAACAGCCAUGGGGAUGUAGCUCAGUGUGAAGGCCCUGGGUUCAAUAGCUAGUAUACUGCAAAAUAAAAAGCGGAAAACCUAAAAACAUAAGUACAGCUGGAUGGGAGAGUCAGACUCGUCAUUUUCACGCUUGUAUGAUUUUGCAGUGUUCUGAUUUUCCUAAUGUUGUGGGACACACGUUUUCCACAUCCUUACAUAUGGAUCUUUCCCUUUGCUCCAUACUGGCCAGAGGGACACUGUGCUUGUUUGGAGGCAGAGGGUGAAAGGGAAUUCUCUGUGCUUUGCCCUCAGUUCUGCUGUGACCCUGAAACUCUGACACAGUAAGAAAGAGAUGAACUAGCAAGUCAUGAAAACACACAGAAGAACCUUAAGUCUGUAUCAUGAAGUGAAAGGAACUUCGAGGCUCGUGUGUUGGAAGCUUUAGACCCAUGUGGGCUUUCAGGAGAGGGGCCUAGGAGCUGCCGCCCACAGUGGGUUAGUGCUGCUGUCCUGGAGCAGGGUCCUUGCCAGGUGAUCCAUUUAGCUCCCACUCGCCUUCUCUGCUCAUCUACCACGAGAUGCCAUAGAGCAGCAAGAAGGCCCUUGCCAGAUGCCAACCCUUCUAGCUGCUUCCUAGCCACUAGAAGUACAAGACUGUAAACUUCUGUGUAUCAUAAAUUCCUUCGUCUGAUACCUGUAAUCCCUUGGGAGGCUGAGGCAGGCAGAUCGACACAAGUUUGAGGCCAGCCUGGACUACAUAGUGAAUUCAAGGCCAGCCCAAAUGACAUAGUGAGAUCUUGUCUCAAAAAAAUAAAAUAAAUUAUGGCAGCGUGACACAGACUAAGACAGAUGCCAAUCUGAAAAGGUUACAGACUACAUAAUUCUGUGAUGUUCUGGAAAAGGCAAAACUAUGGAGACAAUCGAAAGAUCAGUGGUUUCCAGGAGUUGAGCAGAGGGCAGGAUGAACUGUAGAGCAGAGACAAUUUUUAGGAAGGUGAAACUAUUCUGGCUGCUGCUGUCAUGGAAGAUACACGUUGUUACACGUGUGUGGAAAUCCAUGGGACACGCGUCACUGGCAGGGGGCCCUUAGGGUAACAAGGUGCUAGUGUAGGUUCAGCAGUGGUAACGAAUGUACCCUGGUGGGUCAGGAUGGGGAGGGAUGGGGCACGGACAUAUGGGAACUGCUUUCUGCUCAGUUUUGCUGUGAACAUGAAAUUACUCUAAAAAAUAAAGUUUACUUAAAAAAAAAAAGCUAAAUACUAGUAAUUCUUGAAUCCUCUCUCAGGCCCCUGCUGUGAGUCACCAUCAAUCCCAGGCCACACUGUGGUUGCUCCUUGGAGGGGUCACAUGGUAUAAUAGGGCCAGGCAAGUUGGAACUCUAGGGAUUCACCACACUGAAUUAAAUGGAAUCCUUUAUUACAAGCCAGGUGAUCCAGAGCGGGCUCAUGCCUCCAAAAACUGGACAAAGGAAAGGCAGUUUGCAGGAUCCUUUUAAGGGUUCUUUUUGGGGAGGGCUCGGAUUGGGGGAGCACAAGCGGAGUUUCGCAGGGGCAGAACUUUGCUAAGCUAGUGGGCGUCGGGGAAGUUUCACACAGUUUAGUUAAAACAAAG
ensembl:lncRNA